rnacentral:rRNA from 1 species
CCUACGGGUGGCAGCAGUGAGGAAUAUUGGUCAAUGGGCGCGAGCCUGAACCAGCCAAGUAGCGUGAAGGAUGACUGCCCUACGGGUUGUAAACUUCUUUUAUAAAGGAAUAAAGUGAGGCACGUGUGCCUUUUUGCAUGUACUUUAUGAAUAAGGAUCGGCUAACUCCGUGCCAGCAGCCGCGGUAAUACGGAGGAUCCGAGCGUUAUCCGGAUUUAUUGGGUUUAAAGGGAGCGUAGGUGGAUUGUUAAGUCAGUUGUGAAAGUUUGCGGCUCAACCGUAAAAUUGCAGUUGAAACUGGCAGUCUUGAGUACAGUAGAGGUAGGCGGAAUUCGUGGUGUAGCGGUGAAAUGCUUAGAUAUCACGAAGAACUCCGAUUGCGAAGGCAGCUUACUGGACUGCAACUGACACUGAUGCUCGAAAGUGUGGGUAUCAAACAGGAUUAGAUACCCCAGUAGUC